UACGGGGGGGGCAAGCGUUGUUCGGAGUUACUGGGCGUAAAGGGCUCGUAGGUGGCCAACUAAGUCAGACGUGAAAUCCCUCGGCUUAACCGGGGAACUGCGUCUGAUACUGGAUGGCUUGAGGUUGGGAGAGGGAUGCGGAAUUCCAGGUGUAGCGGUGAAAUGCGUAGAUAUCUGGAGGAACACCGGUGGCGAAGGCGGCAUCCUGGACCAAUUCUGACGCUGAGUGAGCGAAAGCCAGGGGAGCAAACGGG
rnacentral:rRNA from 1 species